rnacentral:snRNA from 1 species
GUGCUCUCUUCGGCAGCACAUAUACUAAACUUGGAACGAUACAGAGAAGAAUAGCACGGCCCCUGUACAAGGAUGACACACAAAUUCGUGAAGUGUUCCAUUAAAAA